rnacentral:rRNA from 2 species
GAUGAACGCUGGCGGCGCGCCUAACACAUGCAAGUCGAACGAUUAAAGCACCUUCGGGUGUGUAUAAAGUGGCGAACGGCUGAGUAACACGUGGGCAACCUGCCCCUUUCAUUGGGAUAGCCACGGGAAACCGUGGAUAAUACCGAAUACUUCGAGACUUCCGCAUGGAAGACUCGAGAAAGCUCCGGCGGAGAGGGAUGGGCCCGCGGCCUGUUAGCUUGUUGGUGGGGUAACGGCCUACCAAGGCAAUGAUGGGUAGCUGGGUUGAGAGACCGACCAGCCAGAUUGGGACUGAGACACGGCCCAGACUCCUACGGGAGGCAGCAGUGGGGAAUCUUGCACAAUGGGCGAAAGCCUGAUGCAGCGACGCCGCGUGCGGGAUGAAGGCCUUCGGGUUGUAAACCGCUUUC